ensembl:snRNA U6 U6 spliceosomal RNA
GUGUUUGAUUUGGAAGCACAUAUACUAAAGUUGAAAUGAUACAGAGAACACUAGAGUGGCCUUCAUGUGAGGAAAACAUGACAUUUAUAAAAUAUUGCUUGUUUUUU